rnacentral:rRNA from 1 species
AACGUAGGGGACAAACGUUAUCCGGAGUUACUGGGCGUAAAGGGCGUGUAGGUGGUUCUGUAAGUCUGGCGUGAAAUUUCUCGGCUUAACCGAGGCAGGUCGUCGGAUACUGCAGGGCUAGAGGACGGUAGAGGCGUGUGGAAUUCCGGGUGUAGUGGUGAAAUGCGUAGAGAUCCGGAGGAACACCAGUGGCGAAGGCAGCCCCCUGGGAUAACACUGACGCUCAUGCACGAAAGCGUGGGGAGCAAACAGG